rnacentral:rRNA from 1 species
UAGGGAAUAUUGGUCAAUGGGCGAGAGCCUGAACCAGCCAUGCCGCGUGCAGGAUGACGGCCUUCUGGGUUGUAAACUGCUUUUAUAUGGGAAGAAAAAGGUCUUGCGAGACCAAUUGCCGGUACCAUAUGAAUAAGCACCGGCUAACUCCGUGCCAGCAGCCGCGGUAAUACGGAGGGUGCAAGCGUUGUCCGGAUUUAUUGGGUUUAAAGGGUACGUAGGCGGAUUUUUAAGUCCGUGGUGAAAGCCUACAGCUUAACUGUAGAACUGCCAUGGAUACUGGAAAUCUUGAAUUCAGUUGAGGUAAGCGGAAUUUAUGAUGUAGCGGUGAAAUGCAUAGAUACCAUGAGGAACACCCAUAGGGAAGCCAGCUCACUGGACUGUUACUGACGCUGAGGUACGAAAGCGUGGGGAGCGAACAGGAUUAGAUACCCGUGUAGUCC